CAGGCUCCAGAGUGCUUUCUUGAUAUUUCGAAAAAACUGUGGAGGCCCUAGAAAACCAGGCAAUCAACUGUGUUAUUUUAUAAUGAAUCUUCUGAUAAGCAUCUUUCUUACAACAUGCACAGUUAUUGCUAUGACUGAAGCUUGUGCAGACUCGCAAAAUCAAGAGCCAAGAUUUUGCUGGGGUAAACAGCUCUUAAGCCAGAAGUAUUGCAAGAAUGUCAAAGACCUACAUCGCUGGACGUGUAUUGGUGGAAGUUCAUUAGGAUGCGCAUGUAAAACAAAAUUCAGAGCUGAUGAUGGAUCAUGUGUGGAAGAACGUG